AUUGAACGCUGGCGGCAGGCCUAACACAUGCAAGUCGAGCGAGCGGCGGACGGGUGAGUAAUGUCUGGCAAACUGCCUGAUGGAGGGGGAUAACUACUGGAAACGGUAGCUAAUACCGCAUACCAUCAGAUGUGCCCAGAUGGGAUUAGCCAGUAGGUGGGGUAAUGGCUCACCUAGGCGACGAUCCCUAGCUGGUCGGAGAGGAUGACCAGCCACGCUGGAACUGGACCACGGUCCCAAGUCCUACGGGAGGCAGCAGUGGUGAAUAUUGCACAAUGGGCGCAAGCCUGAUGCAGCCCUGCCGCGUGUGUGAAGAAGACCUUCGGGUUGUAAAGCACUUUCAGCGGGGAGGCGUUACCCGCAAAAGAAGCACCGGCUAACUCCGUGCCAGCAGCCGCGGUAAUAC
rnacentral:rRNA from 1 species